ensembl:lncRNA
AAGCUGGUUGGUAUCCUAGAAGCUGGUCAGACCCCCCCCCAACCACAGUGGUUGUUUGGCCAGCUGAGGUGAUGGAAUUUAUUGGGCUGUGCAAGGACAGUUGUCUGUGGAAACAUGAAGGACCUUCAGGGGAAAUAAAAUACGGCCUCAUAGUAGAAACAGCUGGGCUGAACACUCUUUAUUCCAGCUAGCAAUCUUUCCUCUCAGGAGCAAGAGAUUCCACCUUUCAUUAAAACAGAACUAUUAUUAUUAUUAUUAUUAUUAUAAUUUUUUUUUUUGAGGAACAUAAAGGACCUUUUUUAUUUGUUUUAUUAGCAUUUUUAAAUCGUGCUUGUUUAUGUUAUUAGCAUUUGAAGUCAUCUUGUCACCCAUUGCAUGAGAAGCAUGAAACAUUAGAUGUUAACAAAGUGUGACACCUGCAAUGAGAUGCAAAUGCUGAAUCUCCUUUUGGACAUGUGGGAGUAACAGGCUCAAGUUCUUUAGUGACCAGCAGGAGAUGAGAGACAGGCAUUGCACGUAUACAGAAGGUAACAGAUGUCAUGCAGAGCUUCCCUGGUGGGUAAAAGCAAUUCUGCUUGUACAUAUUUUGAUUUUAAAAACACAAAAUGAGGCAAAGCCAUGCUCCUGUGUUUUCUACCUUUGGCUUGAUACAGGCUGGGACAGACUGUUUCCAUGAAUAUGUUGCACCCAUUCCAGACUUCAGGCACCAAUGCUGGUCCUCAGCAGAUAAAACUCUGCUUUGUAGGAGGCAUCACCACCUCGAAUGGAAUUUGGAGCAGAAGUGUUUGGUUUUGAGGCCUGGGCAGAGACGACUCUGCUGGGCAGCCCAGGGCUGGGAGAAUCAUCUGUGUCCUGCUGGGGAAAUGUGGUGGCAAGAAGGUGAAGGCAAUUAUGGAAACAAAUCCAGUUUUGGGGAACGCUUUGGUCAUUUGGAUUGAGAUAGUCUAUGUAGAAAAAGUGGAGACCUCAGUGGAUAAACCCCAGCAAGUGUCAUCCUCUGCAGGUCCUGGGUGAUGUUAGUGGAAUUUCCACAGAAACCCAGGGAUGAGGCAACCAAGAAGAGCAUCCCAGUGACUACAAAGCUGCAGGUGCUCAGUCCAGUAUCACCUUGAGCCCAGGGGACCAACAAAGCCUCACCUGUGCCUGCUCCUGUGCACAGCCAGAAGCAGGGGCUGGACAAGGUCUUGGACCAGCUCAGCCAAGCUCUGUCUAACCCAGCUGUACCCAGUCAAGAAUAGGGUCCAACCCUGGGCUCAGCCUGUGUGAUAUGGGAGAGAUUUUAGCCUUGAUCAUCACAAACACACUCUAUGCUUUACAUCCAGAAAUGACCUAUGGAUGGAGGAUGAAGAACAUGGACUUGGGAGAAAACCCCAAAAAUCCACCAUGUGGCAUGAGACCUUUCAGUCUAAUCAGUGUGGCAAGGGACAAAUCCAGCUCAGAGCUUCUCAAUCUAUGCCUGGUGGUCUUCAGGAGGAGAGUCAGGAUGAGGAAGGGGAGUGGGAGAAGAUCUUUGUGUGCUGCCCUGGUGGCUGCUGGUGCAGGAAGUGAUGGAUGCUCAUUCCCAGCCCUCCCUCAGUGGCAGGAGCCCAGGGGUGUUGCAGCACUCCAGCACAGGCAGGGAGGCCCUGGCUGCUUUGGGCAGCUGCCUGAUUUCCCUGGGCCUUGAGCCGUCCCGGCUGGAUGCUCUCAGCUCCGACAUGGUCUGGAGGAGAGAAAACAAGAGACAUUCCUGCUGUGUGAGGGGAGCACAGGGAGCAGAGCUGUCCCACAGCGCUGUACGUCACGUCCUGCUGACAGAUCCUGGCUGUAGCAAAGAGGCUGCAGCCCAAAAAGAGCCCCUUCACUCACAAGUGAGAUGAAUAGAUGGGAAGGCUGUCGUCCACCCACACCUCUGUGUCCUGUGCUGUGCCCCAGCAGAGGAGCAUCAGGAGCAUCAGGAAAGGAAUGCUCGCUGUGGCCUCCCAGGAAUGGGGUGGAUGUGGCAAGGCUGGUGCAAAGAUGCCAACCUGGUCUGGUCCUGCAUCUACUCAGUCCCAGCUCUUGCCCUGCAGCACCACAUGCAUCUCCCAUCUUCCACCACCUCUGGGGCCUGCCCCCAUCAUCUCAGAGAGCUUCUCCUCCUGGAACGUGUUUGUAGUAAGUCCCAUGUGAUGUUUUACACAUAUUUUUGUCUUCACACUGAUAGAGGGUAGGGUUAGAUUAGAUUUUAGGAAGAAAUUCUUCCCUUUGAGAGUGGGGAAGCACUGGCACAGGUUGCCCAGAGAUGCUGUGUCUGCUCCUGCAUCUCUGGAAGUGUCCAAGUCCAGUUGGAUGGGGCUUGGAGCACCCGGUCUAGUGGAAGGUGUUCCUGCCCAUGGUAAGGGGUUGGAACGAGAUGAUCCUUCAAACCCAAAUCAUUCCAUGAUUAUGAUCUUAAGAUUUUAUGUUUUUCUAUUAUAGCACAGGGCAAAAUAUCCCCCAUUAGGCUAGCUGGCAUCUUCCUGUUGCUGUGGUGAAAGCUCGUUCCUGCUCUGCUUCUUCCCUUCAUCUUCCUUGGAGAAAAACUGUCUUUUAUUUCCUGCUGGAGAAAAUGGAGACCACUUUUCAUCCCCAGCCCUUGAACACUGGGGAGUGAAACAUAGGUGGUGGACUAAUGCCAUCAAAAUUUCUUUGUCCCCUUGCCCAUAUCUCCAUGUCUGCUGCCAGCCCAGGGGUGCUGGGUUUCCUCCUGGGUAGCAGUGCCCAGAGGGUGGAAAAUUGGGGAUGAAUUGCUGAAAAGGCUCCGUUUGCAGCUCAAGUUGACGGCUCUGCUCUGAGGUCAAGGAGCUGCUGCUUUUGCCAGCAAAAAGAGCCCAGAUGUUUUUCAAUUUACAGAGGCCAGCUCGCAGAAGGCAGGUUAGCACUGUCAUGCUGCAAGUUUGGGAAGGACCCCUUCUUCUCCAAGUCCCUGGCAUAAAAUACACUCUGUGAAGCAGGAGGUCAGAGUGCUGAAGUGAUUUAAGAGCCUUUGCUCUGACUCAAGGAUUUUGAAGGGGUCUUCGUGUUUGUUGUGUUUCUGGAUUCUAAUAUCAAUGAGAGAAUUAAAUCAUUAUAUUAAAACAUCAAAACACUAAUGCUUUGUUUUCAUUGGCAUGAACCAAAAUGAUCUAACUCAAAAGCCAUGAAAUAUCAGUCUUUUUUUUUGCUGAUGAAUAAUAAGAUCUCUGGCUGCAUGUGAUAGUAAAUUUAAUAAUGUCAGUGAUUUGAAAGGUUUGAAUCCUAAACGUGAAGAAAUGUGUUUUACCCCCUCCACCCUCUACCUUUUUUCUCCUUUCUCCCUGCACUACUGUCAGGAAGUUUUGUGGUAAACAAGCCAAAAUGUGCACAUUAGAGCCCAUCUCAUGUACCAGGUGAGUGCCAAAUUCCACAAACCCAGUGCAAACCUCCAUCUCCCAGGUGGUCUGAAUUUGCUUAUAGCUGGGUCCUGUAAGCAGAUUUAAUAUUUCAUAAGCACUGCUCCAUCUCAUGCCUAUAUUAUUGACACCACAUGGAAGUCAGGAAAUUGGUUCUUUCUGGGAACAGUUUGCAGAAAUAUGCAGCCUGUCAGCUCCUUUCUCAUGGGGUGCAUUAACAGAGGGGCUCGCAAUUACAAGUAAUGAACCUUCUCCAGAUGUCUGCAGCGACUCAGCUCCAACUUUAUCUUCGACGGACGAGAUGGACUUGACAAGAUGGAUUAUUUGUGGAUAUAAUGUAACAACUUUGCAAAACGUGGAAUUCCCAAUUAUUGCAAGGCGAGGCGAAGUAUUCGGUAGAAGCGAGAACGCCGAGGUUUAUCCACUGGAUAAACAACAACCCAAAAGGAAAGAAGCUGUGCCAUUUCCCCCCUCUUGAAACCACCAAUGUUCCCAUGCUGUUUUAAUUCUUCCUCUUUACGAUGCCGUUUAUGUUACACACAUUAAAGUUAAGUCAUGUCUUUAAUAAGAUGGAAACUGGAAGUGAGAUUUUGAAGAAAAAGGAGCUCGGAGUCCUAAAUUUACUCUGCGCUUGGAGGGAACAGAAAAAACAACAGAAAGGAUGGGAUAUACCAAAGAAAGCAAUUUUAAUUGUCAUCUUCCAUGGAAAAUUGAAUCCAUUCGUUCCCCACCGCUGUGAGUGCCAACGUACUGCGCUAUAUAUGGCUGGGUGCUUAUUUUAGCAGUUCAGCUGCACAGAAAAAGUGCAACCAAAGUGAGACUUCUCGGGUAAAGUUCUGCCUGCAAAUGAUGCAUGGGGUUUCCGGGUUGUAAAUUUACAAGCAGGUAUUUCAUGGCCUGCCCCAGAUAACUGGGACAAAUCUCUUUUACUUUGGGUUUGACUAAGAGCGAUAAUUUCAUGCUAAUGACCUCUUAAGGAAAACUUGUCAGGUGUGGGUAGAGGGAUGCUGAAUUAUCUUUCUUUCAAAUCUGAGGUCUCCUUGGGGAAGUAUUUGUAGAUCUUCUCGGGCUGAGCUGCAGGUUUGUUUGAUGUGGAUCUUCAAGAUAAAAUUACUGUGCUCCAGAUGUUCCAGUUUAAAUGUUUGUACAUAGGGAUUUCCUUGGUUGUUGAAGAGAGGAGACUCAAAACAGACUCGAUCAUUCAAGCAUCUAUUCCUAGCACAUGUUUUGCUAUGUUUGAGGAGGCAAAUGUCAAGAGCAGUUUUUAUAAACAGGCCUUUCUUUCUCAGAGCACGGUUUGUUUACCAGGUAACGUGCAGAGCAGGCUUCUGCAGUGCUGACAGCAAACUGUUGAUUUAAACUAUCACUCCUCUCCCACCAGCUCCAAAAAUCUUCCUUUCUCAUCAGGAUGAGAAAAUAAAAGGAGAAAUGCUGCUCCCUACCUGUUGCCUGCCAAGAGUGAGAUAUGCUCUGCCUGCAGCCCCACUGGCAGCAGUGCAUCUUCUGCAGUGCCUUUUUCCAGAUGUGGGAAAGACUGAGCUCUGGGGAUGCUGGACCCAGCACAGCCCCAGCUGGUGCUGAUCCAUGAAACCCUGCUCCCAUCCCUGCUGCAAUCAGGCUCUUUUGUCCCCUCAGGGUCUCCUGGGGCUCAGGACAUUAAUGCUUUCUCAACAAGAAGAACUCACUCAAUAUUGUUCCUGCAGGACACAAACUCGGUUGGCACUUGGGAGUUUUGUCCCAGUUUAGAAAGGAGCAGAGACCAUUCCCAUAUGGUUUAGUGCCAGGGAGGAGACAGUGAGCUUCCUUCCCUACCAUGACUCUUCAUGGGUGUCCUCAGCAAUUUGGGACAGUAACAUGCCUCCAGGCAGCAGCAAACAUCUGUGGAGACAAAUAACUUCAAAGGGUGGCUGAUAAUUAUCAAAAGGAAGAGCCAGCUCUUUGUAAAUAAUAAGACAACCCACUGCAGGAUGGGAUCUAUCCUGAUGCCAAUUUUGGUGGCAUUACAUGCAGCAGUGGGGGAGCAGGGCUGGUCCCCUCUUUUGGGUGUCUGCAGAAGUCAGUGUAGGGGGUUGUGCUGCUUAAGGGGGAGCCAGGGGCUGGCUCAGCAGUUCCUGUUCUCAUCUGAUCAUUUGGGCUGGCUUUGACAUCCCAAGUGUGGCUUUGUCAGCCUGAGAUGCAGAAGAGGGGUUUAAUUUUUCUCUUCCAUGUAUCCACAAGCCCUGGUUUUGACAAUAAUUCAGAAAUUUGGGGAAGAACAAACAAAUUAACUAAACAGUGUGGCAAAGCAGAUGCAGAGACAGGGAGAUGAACAACAGGGUGGUGGAAAGGAGCCCUGCUCUGAGGCUGAUGCUCUGUGCCCCUCAGCCAGGUGGGGAAGGGGCUGUAAAGCCCUGUUUGAGCUGAAAGCACGAUGCAACUGCAGUUCUCCCCAUCUUCUGAGGGAAAAGAGCACCACAUGGAAUUGGAAAACACAACCGUUAAGUGUGGGAAUCCAGGGCUUCCCUCUGUCUGCCCUGGCAGGUCUGGGACCCUGGCAGGGGUCAGGAACCCCCCUGGACAGAGCCCCCAGAGACACUGUCUGUGAUCUCUGUCCAUGGAAAAGAGUUUUCAAUCUUACAGGAUGAAUUACAAGCUUUGAGUGUUUGAUAAGAGUAAUAAUUAAGUGUGACACGGGUGCAAAGGUAAAAUUUUAGGUUUCUAGAUUAGGGGUUCAGAGGGGACAAGAUGGAGGAAUUGGGUGUGCCUUGUCUUUUUUCUCCUUCUUCAUGCCCUCCAUGUUUCACUGUGGUGUUGGCAUUUUUCUGUUGGUUUAGGCUGGGAACACACUGUUCAAUGUAGGUGACAGAUAUUGGCACAUUAUUGUAAAUAUAGCACAGGUAGUUUGUGGUAUUUAAUGUUUGUACCAUCCCACUGAGGGCAGAGCCCCACACGCUGCCCUGCAGGACAGAGCUGCGGCAGGGCAGCAGAACAUGUUAGAGAUAAACAGAAUAAACAACCUUGAAACCAGCACAGACCAAUUAUGGCUUCUUCUUUGGCAGCGGGGCAGAAAGACAGAGACUUUUACAAUCUGGGAAUCGCCAAUACCUCAGAUUCCGACGCUGCAGCACCACGCUCCGCUCUCCCUCAGCCUCCGUGCGCGCAGCCCGGCGGUGCCCACAGGCCGAGGUGACCCCGCUGCCUGCGGCCACCGCGCCCGACACUGGUGGCGACCUCCAGCCGGAGCAUCUGGGGCUCAGGCCGCCUCUUUCCGGGCACCUCAUGGCUCUCCAUCCGUGGUGGUGGGCUGGGAUGAGCUGAUGCAGCUCAUCAGGAGCACCAGGAGCAGCGCGGCCGGCCCCGGCGGAUGCUCCCCGAGGCGUU